CAAGGCCUGGCUGUGAAUAGCGAUCGUGAGCUCUGGUUGACCCAAAUACACGGCCGGCCGGCCGGCCUUAUUAACAAAAUCUCAUUCGCCCUAAAACCCUCAGCUGAUCGUCACGAUCACAUUGCUCCGCGAUCCCCCGACGCGGCUUAUCCCUUCUAGGUCCCGACUCUUCAACUCGGGCAUCGCCGUCCCCAGCGGCGGCCUUUCCCUCAUGAUCGCCGGCGAGUACGUUUGAGUGUCGGCCAUCUCUGCUGCGAGCCCAGGCGGAGCUGUCUACAGUGAGUCCCGGCCGGAGCUUUAUCCGGCAUCGCCUCCACUUCCGGGACAACCACAAGUAUGUUCCAUCUUUCACGAUGUUGGCGAAGAAAUCAAUAAGCUCCGGUAGCCUUGAGAUAUCUCUUGAAAUGUCAGGGCUCAUGAUGGAGUUUGGUCAUUUGCCCACAUGGGCAAAUGCAAAUAAUAUGAUAGUGAACAUAAUUAGAAAUGGCAGGAUUCACCAAGCUUCUGAGGUUCUCUCGCUAUUGCAGGAAAAAGGUUUUUGAACCUUGGAUCCAGUUGACUGGAGGCGGCUAAAAUCUAUUCAUCAGAAGGCUUUGUAUACUAGUUCUUGGAGAGCGUUUGGACACAUCUUUCACCAAAACAAAAGGAUUCAAGAGCGGAUUUAACAUCUCAAUCUUUUGGGUUAAAUUUGGUCUUGCAAAAUCCCAUUGAUCAGGUAAAGGUUUCAUUCUUGUAUUGUAGAGGUUUACCUUAUUCCUCUUGUGAAGGGAUAGUAAGUGUCGAUCCCAGAUGAUACAUAGGAUGCAUUAUAUAUAGAUAAUGGGGUGAGAUCUCUGAAAAAUAUAAAUCUACUUGUUAGUGUGUAUGCUUUAUCUUUAUUAUUUUUAUUGUGUAUUGAAUACUCUUAAUUAUAUUUGUGCCCCAUUGUUAUUAACAUUAUUAUUGUCUUUGUGCGGAUGUGAAGAAUAAAAAAAUUUAGUG